GUCUGAAUAGCUUAGUUGGUUAAAAGCAGUCGCCCGGCAAGCGAAAGACGCAGGUUCGAUUCCUGCUUCAGCG
rfam:Lasius niger Lnig_2.1_19159, whole genome shotgun sequence.